CUAUGCACCCCAGAGAGGCCAGUGUGCUCUGAGAAGAUGCAGAUGGAGAGAUCCACGGAGAGGCUGCUUGACUUCUGAUCCCGUAAGAACUUGAUAAACAGAAGUGGAUGAAAGGAAUUCAUGGGCAGACGCCAGAGUGAUUACUUAGUUGGGCAGCUCGCCUCCUCGGAUCCCUCUUCAGCCUCGC